rnacentral:rRNA from 1 species
UACGGAGGGUGCGAGCGUUGUCCGGAAUCAUUGGGCGUAAAGGGCGCGUAGGUGGCCCGGUCAGUUCGUGGUGAAAGCGCGGGGCUCAACCCUGCGUCGGCCAUGAAUACUGCCGCGGCUGGAGCACUGUAGAGGCAGGCGGAAUUCCGGGUGUAGCGGUGGAAUGCGUAGAGAUCCGGAAGAACACCGAUGGCGAAGGCAGCCCCCUGGGUCAAGAUUGACGCUCAUGCACGAAAGCGUGGGGAGCAAACAGG